UCACUACUGCUUGCCUGGGGAAUCCCUGUGCCUUCUCUCCAGGUAACAGCCAGGCUCCAGUCCUGUACCUCAAUGCUUCCAGUGCCCAGGAGGGGGAAAUAGUGUUGCUUCGAUGUAGCAUUGAUGAGCAGUUUCCUGCUACGCGAGUUGUCUUCUGCAAGAAUGGGCAGGAGGAGUUCAGCCUGAAAGCCCAGCAGGGCAGGCUCAUCUACACUAUGGACCUGAACAUCACCUCCAGAAGUGCUGGGACGUACAAGUGUGGGUACCAGCAAAAGAACAAGGAAAACUGGGUGAGGAACUCUGCUCUCAGUGCUCCCCAGACCUUGUCUGUGGCAGGUGCAGGUGCUGGUGAGACCACCACUGAUAUCCAGAGCUCCACAGCCUCUGUCCCCCAGCUCCAC
rnacentral:lncRNA from 1 species